GAGCCUUUUGAAGCUCGAAAAGGCGGGUAUCUCCGUCCACGCUAAGUUUGUGAAGUGUAGUGGGCCCUUCAAGUUUUGGGAAAAGUUUUAAUAAAGGUCUGAGGGCGCUGUGCUUUCACCAUGCACGUGGAAUGUCGUUUAGACACCUACUGUUUUGGAGGUGUCCUUUUCCUAGUAGAAAUAUGCGACUUGGAGUUUUAGCUUUGUGCCAUAGCUACAGCAGCUGACCGUGACCCACACUGGAACAAAGAGGUUAGAUCAUAAAAGAUCUUCUGCCUAUCGACUCAGGAUGCUUACUUUUCAAACCCAACUGCUAUGCUGUGAGGAAGUUAGCACUCAUGGAAUGGCUGUGCAUACGUAUUUCAGCUGACAGCCUCAUUUGAGGUCCUGUACAACAACCCCCAUGGACUAUGAAACAUGUGGUUUGUGAAGAGAAAGAAUGAAAGUGUGGGGGAUGAAGAACCUUUGAUUUCUGAGUGGCCGCAUGAUCACCUAUAUAAUCGAGUAGCAGCUAUGCUGUGUUCAGUUACUAAAGGUGAGGCCAUAAUGAGAAGGCAGCCAUUGGCAGUCCAGGAAGAGUGCUCUUACCAGAAACCAAAUUGGCUAGCUAGCACCUUGAUCUUGGACUUCGCAGCCUCCAGAACUAACACAGAGUGCCUCAUUCCUGAUCUCCACCCUGAACUUCUUUCAAGGUGUGAUGAAGGUCACCCGCUGCAAUGACUAGUGACUUAAUCCUUGUGGAGGCAGAUGUGAGUCUGGGUUUGGUCAUAUCGAAGUUUUGAUCAGUGAGGCAUUUGCCAAAGUGAUGCAGAGACUUGACACAUUCGUGUACUUCCGCACUGAGGCUCACCCUCCCAGAAUUCUCCCACUUGGAACUCAGGAGCCAUUUUAUAAGUCAGUACCGCCUCUACUGCUGGAGGCAGGUCUUAUGAAGAGGCCCUGGAGAAGGCAGCAUCACAGGAAGAGCUGGCAGCUGGAAGAAUAGCUGAGUUGACUGGAGCAGUCAACUCCAAGGACCAUGGACAGAUAGAAGAGAGACCAUCUUGGAUCUUCCAGCCCAGCCUGUCUAGAUGAACACAACCUCAGAGUGAACCCAUUGGAUCAGAAAAAGAGCCCUGUCAACUUCAGAAACAUGAAAAUAGUAUAUCCCUGUUGUUUUAAGCUGCUAAGUUUUAGAAUGGUGUAUUAUUCCAGCAGCUUUAUAUAAGAAACAUCACAUAAGAUAUUUAAUUCAGACCUGGGUACUGAGGAAUUUUGCUUUCUCAUGUAAAUGUAUUACACUAAAAGCCAAAAUAAGUAUACAUUUCUUUCAUUCUACAAUAUACUCAAUUUCCAAAGUACUUUGAAAUCUUUACUAAAGUAUAAACUUGAGACCUUUUUCAUACCAUCCCUCUCUUACCAAAAUCUUAUUUGUAAUGAAAUCAUUUAACAAAACGCAAAUAAUUCCAUUAUUAUUUAAAUCUAUUUUAAGUGAAAUGCUAUGUAAAUCUUUGCUUUAACUGCUAAGAGCUGUCAUUACAGGAUUUAUAGUCUAUAUUGAUUAAUAAUACCAGGCUGUGUUUCACACUCCUUAAUUAAAUUUUGACCUUAUUUGCUCUUAAAAAUACCUCCUCUCUCAAAAGCUGUUAUUCUGCUGAAUGUUUUUUCAAAUGCUUGAGGAGUCAUACUGUGUAAUAUUGGCUAUACUUCACAGUGUGCAACAUUAUAUUCCAUGUGUGUUUUACUAUUAAGUGAUUUUAUUUUGUAGUCUUGCUAGUACCAUCAUAUAAUUACAUUGUAAGCUCAUGUGGUGUAAAGGUCAGAUACAUUAAAUGUACAAAAGCACAUGCAAUGUGUGUUUAGGCUUCUACUUUUUGCACACUGACAUCAGCUUAGUAAGGAAUGAAAAAAAUCACAUAUGUUACAAUUGAAACUUCUGGUCUUUGGAAUAAGAUUUUCUAGCAUCCUGUUGUUAAAAAAAAAAAAA
rnacentral:lncRNA from 1 species